rnacentral:lncRNA from 1 species
AGACAAUAGAUCCAAGAAGGUCUGAUCUGAAGCAAUCUCAGUGGAACAAUACUGGUCUGGCAUAGAGACUAAGAAUAAGAGAUUUGAAACUGCUAUAAACUUCAGCGUUGUUGGAGGAUUCCCAAGAAAUUCUGCCUUCAGGGCGGAGUGAAUAAAAGUCCUUUGUUCACACUUUGAAAU